UGCAAGGGGCUGGGGUUGGAAGCUGGUAGUGACUGCUAAUGGGCAUGAGGAAUCUUACAGUGAUGGAAAUGCUCUAAAGUUGGAUUGUAGAGAUGGCUGCACAACUCAGUAAAUGUACUAAAAAUCUUUUAACUUUAAGUUAAAACAGAUACAUUCUAUAGUAUGUAAAUUAUAUUUCAACAAAGCUGUUUUAAUAAAAAAAGGAAAAAUGUGUUUACUAUAUCGGCUUAGAAACAUGCCUC
rnacentral:lncRNA from 10 species